AUUGAUGUUACAUACGAAUUGGGAGAAUAAUUUACUUAAAAAAAAUGAAGGCAACCUGAAGGCCUAUUCUUCUCAAAACCCUCAAGCUUUUCUCUCUCGCUCAGAACCCUAUUUGAUCUCUCUCUGGAGCUCUUGCCAUUUCACAUCUCUCUCGAGCCCUCUUCGCUCACGCUGUCCCUCUCUCGAGUCCUCUUUACUGUCACUAUCCCUCUCUCGAACCCUUGCUUCUUCCCCUCUCUCUCGAACUGUCGUCGCAUAACAACGUAGCAAUCUCGUUGUCCUUCAUUGACGAAGCAAUCACCUUCAUCGUUCGUUUUGGAGCCGUAGUUCGACGCUGAGAGAGUACCUUCAUCAACCCUAGGUUCGUGAAAAUAUUCCAGGAGCGGGAAGGAUUCNGAGAGGAGUGAAAAAUAGGAAAAUUGUUCGGUGAGAAAUGNGAAUUAGGUCGCGUGUUCGGUGGGAANGGAAGAUUCAACGGCUGAAUCAGUGAAACGUGGUUCAAGAAGUGUACGGAAUUUCAGCUGAGUAUGAAGGAAAGCGUGACCCUAAGAAACUGGAAGAACUUUGAAAUAUGAUAACUAUUUUGGAUGCAGGGGACUAUAUUAUUGUUGCCCAGUCCUUUUCCCACAUGCUUAACUUGGCCAAGUUGGUCGAGGAGGUCCAGAUUUGUCACCGCCGAAGGAACAAGGUGAAGAAAGGAGAUUUUGCAUAUGAGAACAAUGCGACUACAGAAUUAGCGGUAUUAACUACUUUUUGGUUUGCGCUGAAGAAUUUUUCAUUGCCCCGGUGGAAAUGAGAGUUGUGUUUUUCUAAUUAUUUUUGGUUACAUGUGUUGAUUUACCGAGUUAUAUUGAGUCAAAGUUGCUUAAUUGAUUUCAAUAUUUGUUUGUUGCCAUAUUCUGUGGGUAGGCGGUAAUGCAGAUUAUGUUAUGGAUAUGCACCAGAAAGAACAACUUCAUGACAAUGUUGUACCAAUGAUGCAAUCGCAACAUUUCUCUAUGACUUUGGUUUCAAAGUUAGAUCUUUGCAGGCACUAGGGUUUGUUUUAAUUGCUAGGCUAGAAUUUUGAGGAAACAUUAUUCUCUGCUGCUGAUACUCGCCUUAAGAUUCAAGGAUUACAAAACAUGUACGAGUAUCUUCUGGAUGCUGAAAGUCAAAUGGGAACUGAUAAAGAUGAUGAUAACGUUGUUGGUUGCACAAUAGGAGCUGGAAAGAGUGUACCUGUUGCUGUUGGUGUCGGUGAUACAAACAUAUGUGGGGGUAUAGUUCAGUUAUAUUGGGAUAAUAUUUUGGGCAGAUGUUUGGAUUUCGAUGAACAAGUUCUUCAAUCAGCCCUGAAGAUUGUUGAAAUUGUGCUGUGUCAAGGUCUUGUUAAUCCAAUCACCUGUGUUCCGUACCCAAUAACACUUGAAACAGAUCUUCUGGAGUCAAAUUCAAAGUUGGCUCAUCAUCUCCUGAUGAACAUGAAUGAAAAGCCGACUGUUUAUCAGCAAUUGCAUUGCAGCUUCUUUUAAAGCUUAAGAGACACCUAAAAAUCAUGUAUAGUCUUGACGAAGCCCAUUGUCAGGUAAAAUUAUACGGUGCAUCAUCAUCACUUACGCAACAGCAUGCCCAAAGAUGAAGCACAAUUAUAUGCCUCCAAUGAGUUCUUGAUCCUCAUUGGUUGGAUUUUUGUUGCUGGCACAUUUACACUUUGUGGUAUAUUUCUCUUUCUUUGCAAGUUUGGAGAGACCAAAUGUUACUUUAGCAUAUGUGGUGCGGUCUUUAGAGUUCAUUUUGAAGAUAGUGUGUUGGAAGCUUUAUUAAUGUCUAUUAAUCUUAUUGGUUUGAAAAACCUUUUAUCAUUGUAAAUGAUUCUGACAACUUAGAUUAUUAAAUUUGUUUAUUAUGAAUAUAUAUUAAAAUUGUGGUUGUUGAAUA